rnacentral:rRNA from 1 species
CCCUUAGACGUUCUGGGCCGCACGCGCGCUACACUGACCAGUGCAACAAGCAUCCGUCCUUGGCCGACAGGCUCGGGCAAUCUUUGAACGCUGGUCGUGAUGGGGAUAGACUUUUGCAAUUUUUGGUCUUCAACGAGGAAUUCCUAGUAAACGCAAGUCAUCAACUUGCAUUGAUUACGUCCCUGCCCUUUGUACACACCGCCCGUCGCACCUACCGAUUGAAUGGUCCGGUGAAGCCUCCGGAUUGGCGCGCACCUCGGUGCCGCCGAGAAGUUGGCUAACCUUACCAUUUAGAGGAAGGUGAAGUCGUAACA